GACGAACGCUGGCGGCGUGCUUAACACAUGCAAGUCGAACGGAAAGGCCCUGCUUUUGUGGGGUGCUCGAGUGGCGAACGGGUGAGUAACACGUGAGUAACCUGCCCUUGACUUUGGGAUAACUUCAGGAAACUGGGGCUAAUACCGGAUAGGAGCUCCUGCUGCAUGGUGGGGGUUGGAAAGUUUCGGCGGUUGGGGAUGGACUCGCGGCUUAUCAGCUUGUUGGUGGGGUAGUGGCUUACCAAGGCUUUGACGGGUAGCCGGCCUGAGAGGGUGACCGGCCAAGUUGUGAGGGGGGUCCGGCACACUGUCGGACAGAAGGCAGGGGUGGGGAAUAUGGCGCGGUGGGCGGGCGCCUUCGGCAGCCGCGCCGCGGGCGGGGUGGCGCGUUUCGGUUUGUACACCUCGUUCGACUGGGGCGAAGCGGCAGGGACGGUCAUGGGCAAAGAAGCACCGACUAACGACGUGCCAGCCGCCGUGGUAAGAGUCGGAAGAGCCAACGCCUGACC
rnacentral:rRNA from 1 species